CAGGCCUAACACAUGCAAGUCGAACGAAGGCUUCGGCCUUAGUGGCGCACGGGUGCGUAACGCGUGGGAAUCUGCCCCUUGGUUCGGAAUAACAGUUAGAAAUGACUGCUAAUACCGGAUAAUGACGUAAGUCCAAAGAUUUAUCGCCGAGGGAUGAGCCCGCGUAGGAUUAGCUAGUUGGUGUGGUAAAGGCGCACCAAGGCGACGAUCCUUAGCUGGUCUGAGAGGAUGAUCAGCCACACUGGGACUGAGACACGGCCCAGACUCCUACGGGAGGCAGCAGUGGGGAAUAUUGGACAAUGGGCGCAAGCCUGAUCCAGCAAUGCCGCGUGAGUGAUGAAGGCCUUAGGGUUGUAAAGCUCUUUUACCCGGGAUGAUAAUGACAGUAUCGGGAGAAUAAGCCCCGGCUAACUCCGUGCCAGCAGCCGCGGUAAU
rnacentral:rRNA from 1 species